GAACUCGUCCGUGUGAUCCGAAAAAAUGCCAAUUCUCAUAUUUUAUUUCGAUAUGCCUGGGCUGGUUAUGUAUUACCCAAACAGGAUGUGACAUCACGGGGGUCCAAACUAAAAAUAUGUCGCAGGACAGUCUGCCUAGGAUGUCCAGAACCCUGGAGGAUGCUGCCUCGCAGUGGGGGUCCAGACAUGUGAUGUUCGCUGGAGGAUGCAGGAGAUAACCACGCAGAAUGUCUCUUUUCUCUACCUCCUGGUUUGAGUAUGACCCCUCCCCUGGCUUGUGACCCUUCACCUGGAUAUCACUCCUGGCAUUUGGCUCUGGGACAGACUACUCAUGUUGAACCAUAGGCGCUGCACCAGAGCUGUGAUGAUGCUCCCUGAGGCCUCCUCUCUCACCCCGUGUUCUGACUCCCUGGGAUGUGUGGAGCUGUGAGGUACUGUUUGACUCAUUGAGGUCUUUGCCUUCUGACGCUCUCAUUUACUGGUGCUAGGGGUACGAUGCCCACGGCAAGACUUUAGCCCCAACUGUGAUCAUAUGAUGUUGCUGCUUUGUCAUGCUCUCUCAGGCCCACUGUCACCACCCGUCACCACCCAUGGCCCUGGAAGAGAAGAGGUGAUGGAGCAGUUUGUCUGUUGACCUUUCCCCUCUCAGUCAGAUCAGUUCUCAUCUCUGUUCCAUCCCCUUUGGCAACACCUGUCUCUCUGUGGCCUUCAUGUAUUUGCUCAUGGUCAUGCCUCAGUGUAUACAUGGUGUGUUACCUAUGUUUUCCUGGACACUUAAAGUUCAAGUGGAAUUUUUGCUGGCUAUCCAAUAGCAUUCUGUUAUUUGGCUUUAUAGAAUUAUAAAGGUG
ensembl:lncRNA